AGUCGUAACAAGGUUUCCGUAGGUGAACCUGCGGAAGGAUCAUUACCGAGUGCGGGUCCGCGUGGCCCAACCUCCCACCCGUGCCUAUUGUACCCUGUUGCUUCGGCGGGCCCGCCAGCCUUCGGGCUGGCCGCCGGGGGGCGUCUCGCCCCCGGGCCCGUGCCCGCCGGAGACCCCAACAUGAACCCUGUUCUGAAAGCUUGGUGUCUGAGUGUGAUUGUUUGCAAUCAGUUAAAACUUUCAACAAUGGAUCUCUUGGUUCCGGCAUCGAUGAAGAACGCAGCGAAAUGCGAUAACUAAUGUGAAUUGCAGAAUUCAGUGAAUCAUCGAGUCUUUGAACGCACAUUGCGCCCCCUGGUAUUCCGGGGGGCAUGCCUGUCCGAGCGUCAUUGCUGCCCUCAAGCCCGGCUUGUGUGUUGGGCCCUCGUCCCCCGGCUCCCGGGGGACGGGCCCGAAAGGCAGCGGCGGCACCGCGUCCGGUCCUCGAGCGUAUGGGGCUUUGUCUUCCGCUCUGCAGGCCCGGCCGGCGCCCGCCGACGCAUAACAACUUUUUUUCCAGGUUGACCUCGGAUCAGGUAGGGAUACCCGCUGAACCUAAGCAUAUCA
rnacentral:misc_RNA from 1 species